rnacentral:rRNA from 1 species
ACGGGUGAGUAAUGUCUGGGAAACUGCCUGAUGGAGGGGGAUAACUACUGGAAACGGUAGCUAAUACCGCAUAACGUCGCAAGACCAAAGAGGGGGACCUUCGGGCCUCUUGCCAUCGGAUGUGCCCAGAUGGGAUUAGCUAGUAGGUGGGGUAACGGCUCACCUAGGCGACGAUCCCUAGCUGGUCUGAGAGGAUGACCAGCCACACUGGAGCUGAGACACGGUCCAGACUCCUACGGGAGGCAGCAUG